rnacentral:rRNA from 1 species
AGUGUACGCUGGCGGUAGGCCUAACACAUGCAAGUCGAACGGCAGCACAGUAAGAGCUUGCUCUUACGGGUGGCGAGUGGCGGACGGGUGAGGAAUACAUCGGAAUCUACUUUUUCGUGGGGGAUAACGUAGGGAAACUUACGCUAAUACCGCAUACGACCUACGGGUGAAAGCAGGGGAUCUUCGGACCUUGCGCGAUUGAAUGAGCCGAUGUCGGAUUAGCUAGUUGGCGGGGUAAAGGCCCACCAAGGCGACGAUCCGUAGCUGGUCUGAGAGGAUGAUCAGCCACACUGGAACUGAGACACGGUCCAGACUCCUACGGGAGGCAGCAGUGGGGAAUAUUGGACAAUGGGCGCAAGCCUGAUCCAGCCAUACCGCGUGGGUGAAGAAGGCCUUCGGGUUGUAAAGCCCCUUUGUUGGGAAAGAAAAGCAGCAGGUUAAUACCCCGCUGUUCUGACGGUACCCAAAGAAUAAGCACCGGCUAACUUCGUG